rnacentral:piRNA from 1 species
CAGUUGUUCAAGUGCCUGCAAU